rnacentral:tRNA from 1 species
GCCCUGGUAGCUCAGUGGAUAGAGCAGAGGACUUCUAAGCCUAAGGUCGUUGGUUCGAUUCCAACCCGGGGUACCA